AAUCCAUAGGUUAAUGAGGCGAACCGGGGGAACUGAAACAUCUAAGUACCCCGAGGAAAAGAAAUCAACCGAGAUUCCCCCAGUAGCGGCGAGCGAACGGGGAGGAGCCCAGAGCCUGAAUCAGCAUGUGUGUUAGUGGAAGCGUCUGGAAAGGCGCGCGAUACAGGGUGACAGCCCCGUACACAAAAGCGCAUGUGCUGUGAGCUCGAUGAGUAGGGCGGGACACGUGGUAUCCUGUCUGAAUAUGGGGGGACCAUCCUCCAAGGCUAAAUACUCCUGACUGACCGAUAGUGAACCAGUACCGUGAGGGAAAGGCGAAAAGAACCCCGGCGAGGGGAGUGAAAAAGAACCUGAAACCGUGUACGUACAAGCAGUGGGAGCACAGGUUUACCUGUGUGACUGCGUACCUUUUGUAUAAUGGGUCAGCGACUUAUAUUCUGUAGCAAGGUUAACCGCAUAGGGGAGCCG
rnacentral:rRNA from 1 species